rnacentral:rRNA from 1 species
ACACCGGCGGCCCGAGUGGUGAUCGUGAUUAUUGGGUCUAAAGGGUCCGUAGCCGGUUUUGGUCAGUCCUCCGGGAACUCUGACAGCUCAACUGUUAGGCUUUCGGGGGAUACUGCCAGACUUGGAACCGGGAGAGGUAAGAGGUACUACAGGGGUAGGAGUGAAAUCUUGUAAUCCCUGUGGGACCACCUGUGGCGAAGGCGUCUUACCAGAACGGGUUCGACGGUGAGGGACGAAAGCGU